rnacentral:rRNA from 1 species
ACGUACACUCCUACGGGAGGCAGCAGUGGGGAAUAUUGGACAAUGGGCGCAAGCCUGAUCCAGCCAUGCCGCGUGAGUGAUGAAGGCCCCAGGGUUGUAAAGCCCUUUCACCGGUGAAGAUAAUGACGGUAACCGGAGAAGAAGCCCCGGCUAACUUCGUGCCAGCAGCCGCGGUAAUACGAAGGGGGCUAGCGUUGUUCGGAUUUACUGGGCGUAAAGCGCACGUAGGCGGACUAUUAAGUCAGGGGUGAAAUCCCGGGGCUCAACCCCGGAACUGCCUUUGAUACUGGUAGUCUUGAGUUCGAGAGAGGUGAGUGGAAUUCCGAGUGUAGAGGUGAAAUUCGUAGAUAUUCGGAGGAACACCAGUGGCGAAGGCGGCUCACUGGCUCGAUACUGACGCUGAGGUGCGAAAGCGUGGGGAGCAAACAGGAUUAGAAACCCCUGUAGUCCCA